UACGUAGGGGGCGAGCGUUGUCCGAAGUUACUGGGCGUAAAGCGCGCGUAGGCGGGGGGUUAAGUGAGAGGUGAAAGGCUGGGGCUCAACCUCAUGCAGUGCCUCUCAUACUGGCCUUCUUGAGGGCGGUAGGGAGAAGUGGAAUGGCUGGUGUAGCGGUGAAAUGCGUAGAUAUCAGUCGGAACACCGGUGGCGAAGGCGGCUUCUUGGGCCGUUCCUGACGCUGAUGCACGAAGGCUAGGGUAGCGAACGGG
rnacentral:rRNA from 1 species